rnacentral:piRNA from 1 species
UUCACCAAAGGGUAGCCAUGGCUAGGGUC